UCUCUCAGGACGAACGCUGGCGGCGUGCCUAAUACAUGCAAGUCGAGCGGACAGAUGGGAGCUUGCUCCCUGAUGUUAGCGGCGGACGGGUGAGUAACACGUGGGUAACCUGCCUGUAAGACUGGGAUAACUCCGGGAAACCGGGGCUAAUACCGGAUGGUUGUUUGAACCGCAUGGUUCAAACAUAAAAGGUGGCUUCGGCUACCACUUACAGAUGGACCCGCGGCGCAUUAGCUAGUUGGUGAGGUAACGGCUCACCAAGGCAACGAUGCGUAGCCGACCUGAGAGGGUGAUCGGCCACACUGGGACUGAGACACGGCCCAGACUCCUACGGGAGGCAGCAGUAGGGAAUCUUCCGCAAUGGACGAAAGUCUGACGGAGCAACGCCGCGUGAGUGAUGAAGGUUUUCGGAUCGUAAAGCUCUGUUGUUAGGGAAGAACAAGUACCGUUCGAAUAGGGCGGUACCUUGACGGUACCUAACCAGAAAGCCACGGCUAACUACGUGCCAGCAGCCGCGGUAAUACGUAGGUGGCAAGCGUUGUCCGGAAUUAUUGGGCGUAAAGGGCUCGCAGGCGGUUUCUUAAGUCUGAUGUGAAAGCCCCCGGCUCAACCGGGGAGGGUCAUUGGAAACUGGGGAACUUGAGUGCAGAAGAGGAGAGUGGAAUUCCACGUGUAGCGGUGAAAUGCGUAGAGAUGUGGAGGAACACCAGUGGCGAAGGCGACUCUCUGGUCUGUAACUGACGCUGAGGAGCGAAAGCGUGGGGAGCGAACAGGAUUAGAUACCCUGGUAGUCCACGCCGUAAACGAUGAGUGCUAAGUGUUAGGGGGUUUCCGCCCCUUAGUGCUGCAGCUAACGCAUUAAGCACUCCGCCUGGGGAGACCC
rnacentral:rRNA from 1 species